rnacentral:siRNA from 1 species
GAGUCCAUAUGUAAACAACGAUU